rnacentral:rRNA from 1 species
CCGCACUAGUGAUUAGAGUUGAUCCUGGCUCAGAUUGAACGCUGGCGGCAUGCCUUACACAUGCAAGUCGAGCGGCAGCGCGGGGGCAACCUGGGCGGCGAGCGGCGAACGGGUGAGUAAUACAUCGGAACGUGUCCAGUAGCGGGGGAUAACCUGUCGAAAGAUAGGCUAAUACCGCAUACGACCUACGGGUGAAAGCGGGGGACCGCAAGGCCUCGCACUAUUGGAGCGGCCGAUGUCGGAUUAGCUAGUUGGCGGGGUAAAGGCCCACCAAGGCGACGAUCGGUAGCUGGUCUGAGAGGAUGAUCAGCCACACUGGGACUGAGACACGGCCCAGACUCCUACGGGAGGCAGCAGUGGGGAAUUUUGGACAAUGGGGGCAACCCUGAUCCAGCCAUGCCGCGUGCGGGAAGAAGGCCUUCGGGUUGUAAACCGCUUUUAGUCGGGAAGAAAGGGUUCUCUUGAAUAGGGGGGAUCUUUGACGGUACCGGCGGAAUAAGCACCGGCUAACUACGUGCCAGCAGCCGCGGUAAUACGUAGGGUGCGAGCGUUAAUCGGAAUUACUGGGCGUAAAGCGUGCGUAGGCGGUUCCUCAAGUCCGUUGUGAAAGCCUCGGGCUCAACCUGGGAAUGGCAGUGGAAACUAGGGGACUGGAAUCUGGCAGAGGGGGGUGGAAUGCCGCGUGUAGCAGUGAAAUGCGUUGAGACGCGGCGGAACACCGAUGGCGAAGGCAGCCCCCUGG